UACGUAGGGUGCGAGCGUUGUCCGGAAUUAUUGGGCGUAAAGAGCUUGUAGGCGGUUUGUCGCGUCUGCCGUGAAAAUCCGGGGCUCAACCCCGGACUUGCGGUGGGUACGGGCAGACUAGAGUGUGGUAGGGGAGACUGGAAUUCCUGGUGUAGCGGUGAAAUGCGUAGAUAUCAAGAGGAACACCUGCGGCGAAGGCGGGUUGCUGGGCCGACACUGACGCUGAGGCGCGAAAGCCAGGGGAGCGAACGGG
rnacentral:rRNA from 1 species